AGUCACCUGACACUCAUUCACAACAACACAGGCGCUGUGAGCAGCAUCUUUGCCCUGUUUCUGGUUUUUCCCACAAUAUUUUUUUACAUAAGGAUAACAGUGAUAGAUAGCAAAGAGGAAAAAUGUGACGACGGCCAUCGAAGAGGAAAUGGGCCAUAUCAUGAUGUAGCGGUAGCACAGAAUUCAGCAUCCUGGUUGCUCGGUACAAAAUGGCAACAACACAGCAGCGACUCGCCACAGAGCUCACGCCUCGAAUGCCAUAGCGGCCUGACAUCGCUGCACCAGGCGCAGCCAGAGGCACCGUCGCGCUCUCUGGGCCUCCCGACACCACCGCCACCCUUUCCCCACAUAGCUCACAUGGCUCCUGGAUCCUGCUGGGCAGGGAGUGAGUAGGGGCAACAACAACAACAACAAAAAAAGAAAAAUACCCUGUUUCUUGGACCUGUUACACAACAUUGUUUUUGACCAACAGUGGGGGAAAAUAGUCUCGUUUUUGCUUGUUUGUUUACACCGUAAACCUUUAAAAACGACUCCCCAUGAGCUAGUUUAUUUUCAUUAAUUAGACCUCUGACUGAAUUUAUGGCGCUGUGAGCUACUUUUUAAUCAUCUACUAUAAAUGCUACUUCAUUUCUAGUUUAUAUCUUUUUUUUCUCCAUUAAAAAACACUAAACAUCUAUUAUCUAUUAGAGGAGGCUGUGGCUCACCAGAGGCAGCGGGCAGUCCCAUUUUUAUUGCAGACAUGCAUUUUAUAUUUAAUACAGAAGAGCAUUAGGGUCGUGGAAGAGCAGGAGCCUAUCCCAGCUGACAAUUACCGUAAUUUCGAACACUCGAAAUUAUUCAUGCGCACCCAUGUAUAAUAUGCACCCCCAAAGUGGACCUCAAAAUUCUGGAAAACCCUUCUACCUAUUUAUAAUGCAUUUUUACAAUGCAUGAUUUUGCUUCUACCCAUAUGAUCAAAACGAAGUAUUAUCUGUACUUUGUUAGUUUUUCAAAGAAUUAUUCUGAAGUUCAGCACUAUUUGAACACGUAAUACUUUCUUUUCCUUUACUUGCUCUUAUUUUGAAAUUCAUAGCCCUACUUUUAUUUAGUAAAUGGAAAAACACAAAGUUGUGCUCAUAUGUUUGAUUACCCAGGCAGAAUUUGUAAGAUGAGUCCAAAACAUGAAGGGCCAGGUAAAAAACAUUUAAUUUUAUUUCAAUGGGAGUCAAAUUAAACUGUCAAGUAUUUCACAAAAGCAUUAUCAUUAAACAAAACAUAACCAUAAAGAAAUUAAUGAUGGUUGUUGUUCAGUCAUCAGUUGUAUUUAAAAAAUAACAAUUAUUUCACAAAUUCUGCCAGGGUAUGUAAAUUUAUGAGCACAACUGUACAUAUAUGCAGUCAUACGUACCCAUCAUAUUGGAAUGAAAGUAUAGGCCACACUUUUUCAUAACCUCUAGAUGUCGAUGGCGUAUUACAAUGAAAUUGUACACCUUUCUCAUAACCCCUAGGUGGCGGUGGAAUUUUGGAAUGAAAAUAUACAGCUUUUCAUAACCUCUAUAUGGCAGCAUCCAUUUAUAAAAUGUUAAAGUUCCCCCCCCUCCCCCCCCCCCAUUUCCCCCUAUACCCAUGUAUAAUACGCACUAUUGACUUUUGAAAUAAACAAUUUGGGGGGGGGGAAUAUGCAUUACAUACGAGAAAUUACGGUAAGCACCUUCAAGUAACCAAACAAUUUUUGGAAUGUGGGAUGAAAGACAAAAACCAUAAGCACGGGGAAGAACAUGCUACGCAGAUUCUAACCCAGAACCUCAGAACUGUCAGGCAGACAUGGUGUCAACUGAAGAUCAUCUUUCCUUCCAUCGGCCUACAGGGCAGUUACAAGAGAGCCCCAUGAAUUCUACCUAGCAUCUGGCAUCAACAAAAAUGGGAAAUUUUAUUUUAGGUGCCAAGUAAUGAGUUACUAAUGUUUUGUUGUCUACAUGAUUUAUAGAAUAACCGUUGUCAGACAAACCGGAAUGUUCACCUUCCGUGUAGUUCCGUGUUGUGCCAAAAAAAUGCUGACCAGUACAAUUUGCCACUUUACUAUACGUUGUUCCCUGACCAGAGAAAAUGUAUGUGUUGCGGUAGCAGUUAUUUGAAUGUUUAGAAUCAGCGUAACAUCUUUGCUAAUUUCCACUAGCCUGUCUAUGGUGUUUUACAUUAAAUGUUCGCAUUAAGCUAGUACACUUU